rnacentral:rRNA from 1 species
GACGAAGGUGGCGAGCGUUGUUCGGAAUCACUGGGCAUAAAGCGCACGUAGGCGGUGGCGUAAGUCAGGUGUGAAAGCCCACGGCUCAACCGUGGAGGGUCAUUGGAAACUGGAGGACUUGAGUACAGAAGAGGAAAGCGGAAUUCCACGUGUAGCGGUGAAAUGCGUAGAGAUGUGGAGGAACACCAGUGGCGAAGGCGGCUUUCUGGUCUGUAACUGACGCUGAGACGCGAAAGCGUGGGGAGCAAACAGG